GAUGAAGUAAGUAAGGGCGUACGGUGAAUGCCUUGGUGCCAACAGGCGAAGAAGGACGCGGCAAGCUGCGAAAAGCCUCGGGAAGCUGCAAGCAAGCGAUGAUCCGGGGAUAUCCGAAUGGGGUAACCUGAUCGAGGCAAUACUCGAUCGUUCAUACCUGAAUACAUAGGGUAUGAAACGCGAAACCCGCUGAAGUGAAACAUCUCAGUAAGCGGAGGAAAAGAAAGAGAAAUCGAUUCCGUAAGUAGUGGCGAGCGAAAGCGGAUGGAGCCCAAACCGAAGGUAUUCCUUCGGGGUUGUAGGACCACGUCAUAUUCGACCAUACUGGAUAGUAGAACAGCCUGGAAAGGCUGGCCGGAGAAGGUGAAAGCCCUGUAGACGAAAUCCAGAGUGGGAAUUAGUGGUAUCCUGAGUAAUACAUCACACGUGGAACGAUGUAUGAACCCGCGCGGACCACCGCGCAAGGCUAAAUACUAGUUGGCGACCGAUAGUGAACAAGUACCGCGAGGGAAAGGUGAAAAGAACCGCUGUGAGCGGAGUGAAAUAGAACCUGAAACCGUAUGUCUACAAAGUGUCAGAGCAGAGCAAUCUGCGAUGGCGUGCCUUUUGUUUAAUGAGUCUGCGAGUCAGUGUUUGUGGCAAGACUAAGGGCUUCCGGCCCGGAGUCGCAGCGAAAGCAAGUCCGAACAGGGCGCAAUAAGUCGCAGGUACUGGACCCGAAGCGGAGGUGACCUACCCUUGGCCAGGUUGAAGCAUGGGUAAAACCAUGUGGAGGACCGAACAGGUGAACGUUGAAAAGUUCUCUGAUGAGCUGAGGGUAGGAGUGAAAGGCUAAUCAAACCCCGUGAUAGCUGGUUCUCUUCGAAAUGCAUUUAGGUGCAGCGUCACGUGCUGAUGCGCGGGGGUAGAGCACUGACAAGGCUAGGGGGCACACCCGCUUACCAAACCUUAUCAAACUCCGAAUACCGUGCAAUGGAACGUGGCAGUGAGACAGUGGGGGAUAAGCUUCAUUGUCGAGAGGGAAACAACCCAGACCAGCAGCUAAGGUGCCUAAAUAACGCUCAGUGGAAAGGAUGUGGGAUUACACAGACAGUGAGGAUGUUGGCUUAGAAGCAGCCACCAUUUAAAAAAUGCGUAAUAGCUUACUCAUCGAGUGAUCCUGCGCCGAAAAUGAUUGGCGAUCAAGCGUUAUACCGAAGCUCUGGACUUUGCCGCAAGGCAGAGUGGUAGAAGAGCGUUGCAUGCGCGUCGAAGGGCGAUGGCGACUGACCCUGGAGCACAUGCAAGUGAGUAUGCAGACAUGAGUAACGUUAAGCCGGGUGAAAUCCCCGGCCGCCGUAAACCCGAGGUUUCCAGGGCAACGUGUUUCGUCCCUGGGUUAGCCGGGACCUAAGCCGAGGCCGAGAGGCGUAGGCGAUGGACAUCAGGUUAAUAAUCCUGAGCUCGCAACCCUUAAACUGGGGGGACGCAUGAGAAAAGAUGACUAGGUUAUUGAAUUCCGAGUUGAGUCCACGGACUCAGCGCAUCAUUGGAUCGAGUGCCAAGAAAAGCCCCAGCGUAUGCUAAGCGACCCGUACCGCAAACCGACACAGGUGGGUGGGUAGAAUAUACCAAGGCGUAAGAGUGAAACCUGGUUAAGGAACUCGGCAAAUUAGCCCCGUAACUUCGGAAGAAGGGGUGCCUGCAGCGAUGCAGGCCGCAGAGAAAUGGCCCAACCGACUGUUUAUCAAAAACACAGCACUCUGCAAAGACGCAAGUCGAAGUAUAGGGUGUGACACGUGACCAAUGCCGAAAGAUUAAGGCAAGGGGUUAGCCGCAAGGCGAAGCUCUAAACCCAAGUCCCGGUGAAUGUCGGCCGUAACUAUAACGGUCCUAAGGUAGCGAAAUUCCUUGUCGGGUAAGUUCC
rnacentral:rRNA from 1 species